GGACGAACGCUGGCGGCGUGCCUAAUACAUGCAAGUAGAACGCUGAAGGAGGAGCUUGCUCUUCUGGAUGAGUUGCGAACGGGUGAGUAACGCGUAGGUAACCUGCCUGGUAGUGGGGGAUAACUAUUGGAAACGAUAGCUAAUACCGCAUAAUAGCAGUUGUUGCAUGACAGCUGUUUGAAAGGUGCAAUUGCACCACUACCAGAUGGACCUGCGUUGUAUUAGCUAGUUGGUGGGGUAACGGCUCACCAAGGCGACGAUACAUAGCCGACCUGAGAGGGUGAUCGGCCACACUGGGACUGAGACACGGCCCAGACUCCUACGGGAGGCAGCAGUAGGGAAUCUUCGGCAAUGGACGGAAGUCUGACCGAGCAACGCCGCGUGAGUGAAGAAGGUUUUCGGAUCGUAAAGCUCUGUUGUAAGAGAAGAACGAGUGUGAGAGUGGAAAGUUCACACUGUGACGGUAUCUUACCAGAAAGGGACGGCUAACUAC
rnacentral:rRNA from 1 species